rnacentral:rRNA from 1 species
CAUGGUUGUCGUCAGCUCGUGUCGUGAGAUGUUGGGUUAAGGUCCCGCAACGAGCGCAACCCUUGUCAUUAGUUGCCAUCAUUUGGUUGGGCACUCUAAUGAGACUGCCGGUGACAAACCGGAGGAAGGUGGGGAUGACGUCAAGUCCUCAUGGCCCUUAUGGGUAGGGCUUCACACGUCAUACAAUGGUCGGUACAGAGGGUUGCCAACCCGCGAGGGGGAGCUAAUCCCACAAAGCCGAUCGUAGUCCGGAUCGCAGUCUGCAACUCGACUGCGUGAAGUCGGAAUCGCUAGUAAUCGUGGAUCAGCAUGUCACGGUGAAUACGUUCCCGGGUCUU